CUACGGGAUUUGCUUAUUGCACCACAUGUGUUUUUCUUUGAAACAAACUUGCUUUGGCGGUGGGCCCAGCCUGCCGCCAGAGGUCUAAACUUACAACCAAUUUUUUAUCAACUUGUCACACCAGAUUAUUACUAAUAGUCAAAACUUUCAACAACGGAUCUCUUGGUUCUCGCAUCGAUGAAGAACGCAGCGAAAUGCGAUACGUAAUAUGAAUUGCAGAUAUUCGUGAAUCAUCGAAUCUUUGAACGCACAUUGCGCCCUCUGGUAUUCCGGAGGGCAUGCCUGUUUGAGCGUCGUUUCUCCCUCAAACCGCUGGGUUUGGUGUUGAGCAAUACGACUUGGGUUUGCUUGAAAGACGGUAGUGGUAAGGCGGGAUCGCUUUGACAAUGGCUUAGGUCUAACCAAAAACAUUGCUUGCGGCGGUAACGUCUACCACGUAUAUCUUCAAACUUUGACCUCAAAUCAGGUAGGACUACCCGCUGAACUUAAGCAUAUCAAUAAGCGGAGGAA
rnacentral:rRNA from 1 species